GGCCUCUUUCCUUUGAUUCUGCCCUAAUCCCACCAACUCCAUUGUCUUUGAUCCUCAUCCAUCCCCCACCGAGACAGACCUCGGUUGUAAAUCAGAACAAUAGCGGAGAACGAAGAGGAUCCAAGUAGAAAGCCCCCAUCGAAGACGAUCAUCUCUCUCUCUCCUCCUUCGGUUGUGUCAAGUGCUAUUAUAGAUAAAUAUAUUGGUGAAAGUGCUCGUCUCAUAAGGGAGAUGUUCGGAUAUGCCCGGGAUCAUCAGGUCAAGAUCAUGGCAACAAAUCGACCAGAUGUUCUGAUCCUGCACUUCUUCACCCAGGCAGAUUAGAUAAGGAAAAUAUAGAUUCCACUGCCAAAUGAACAAUCAAGAAUGAAAAUUUCAAAAAUUCACGCAGUUGGUAUUGCUAAACAUUGUGAGAUCGACAAUGAAGCAGUUGUUAAGCGUGCUGAAUGUUUUAAUGAAGUAGACCUUCUCAAUGUCUGCACUAAAGUUGGAAUGUCAGUAAUCUGUGCCGAGUGUGAUUACGUUAUCCAUGAGGAUUUUAUGAAGGCUUUUGAUGUUUUGAGGAAUUGCUGCUCUUUUAAGAUUAUUAUGGCUCAAUGAAAUGGAGAUAAUCUAGAAUUCCCGAGAGAUGGUUUUACGUGAACUAUGUGGAAAGUUUUCAAACUAUUUUCUACUUAAGGAGUUGCACAGUUAGGAGUCUUACAUGGGAUAGCAAGGAUUCAAGAGACUGUCAUUGUUGAUGGAUUUAUCUGAUUUUCUUGGAAUGGGGUUUCUCGGAAAGGGGUUCUGAUUUCUAUUUGCUAUAUUGGCCUUUAAAGUUUUGAACAUGCUAAUGUAUAUUUGUGCUUUGCAUGAUAAAUUGUCAAUUGGCUAGAGUAUGGAAAAUUGAAAUUCAUUGUUUGAUGCUUAGUUUUCUCUAGAGGGGUUUCAUAUCACCACAUAAAGUGCCCUCUGCUUUUAUUUUUGGUUUGAUCUAGUUUGACAAGUAAGACUGAAAUUAUUGGUUGUUUGAAAUUGCCUUUGGACGGACUUUGGAAUCUCUUAACUGUGGAAAUCGAUAUCUUUCAAUGUUGGGUUGUGUGUACUUGGUAUUUGGUUUUCCUAAGAGGGGUUUCCAUGUGGCCACACAAAAAAUGCUUUGUUUUGUGGAAAUUGCGUUCUUUCAGAAUUUGAUGGUUUUUACUGUGGAAACAAGUAUCUUUCAAAGGGGAUGUUAUUCAUAACCAAACAAGACAAAGCAUGAGUUUUCUGUAAUAUGUUUUGAUCUGUUUAUUGUUGCUGUUUCCAAAGGUUAUUCUUUUAAAGGGGACUCUUUUGAGCACCAGAUGAGCAUAUCCUCCCAAUCUGGUUUAUUCUAUGUAUUGCCGCCAUUUUCAUACAUCAGCUUGCAAUUAUCUUUGGCUGCCAAAUUGGGGGUUUCUUACCUUUAGAAAGAGGGUUUCAUGUCAAUGCAAUAGCAUGAUUUCACUAUUGUUUUCAAAAGUUCCAUGUCUCAUUUGUACUCCUUUAUUGUUUGUACUCCUGGUCUGUAGUUAUCAAUGAUUUAUAAUUUUGAAUAGACACUGACAAUAUAAUUAUUGACAAGCAUUUAUCAAUUAUGUUUGAUUCUGCCUUUUCUAUUAUAUGAUCUAGAUAUUUGUUUGUGUUUCUGCGAAUUUGCUGGUUGAACGUUGUGGUUUUUAUUAAUUUAGUUUUUGAAAGUAGUCUGGAAAUUGGAACUUGGCAUAUAUAUCUAUUUUCACAUAUGAGGUUUGAUUAAAUAUCUUUUAACCCAAUGUCCAGAACUGAUAGAACUUAAGAGGGGGCUUCUUCUAACUUCACAAAAUAUAGUCUCACUGUAACCUUUUUUUGUCAUGUGAUCUAUUAUGGCAACUAAAGCAGGAAUUAGUGUUAUGUCGAAAUUGUCUUCCAUCAAAAUUUGGUGGGUUUUUAUGUAUGGCAAUGAGUGUCUGUUGGUGGGACUGUAAUCCAUCGACGAGAGUGGUCGGAGGAAGUAUGGGCAACGACGAUGUUGGUGAACUGGGAGAGGCGACUAGUAGGGGAAGAAGCUCCGGAUUACUGUAUUGUUUCUUGAAACCCUAACCCUAAAGAUGUAAUGUGUUCCAUGGCAAGUUUUUAUGUGAAGAUUGAUGCUCUGAUUCUUAGUGAUGGUUGGCGUGUUUUCUAUUUUCAUUCUUUUGAUUAAUAUUUGUUUUAUUUUACUUCAUUAGGAAUGUUAGUUUGAUCCUCCUACUUAUGCAAAACUUGAUGAUCUGAUUUAAAUUAUCUGUGUGUGAUCCAUGCUAUCUGUUUGUUGCCAUGCGCACAAUAAAUUGCAUGUCAAGGAUAGGAUAAGGAGUGAAGGAGUGAAUCUAGUUGAAGAGGAAGAACAAAUCUCAAAGGUAUAUAGUUUGAGAGAAAGCCAGCAGUUCUUACACGCUAUCUUGGGAGACCUGGCCUGGUCCAGUACUUUCUCAAGGUACGAAAGGGAGAACAUUGCACUUUUGGCUUGGAAGACAAGUAUCCAAGAUUAAUAAUUAAUUUUAAAGCAUCUUUGUUGUUAUUCCAAUAUUAUUUUCUCUAGUUGUUGCCAUUUUUUUAUGAUAUCUAGUUUUGUAAAUCCAUGAUGUGAGUUUUGUAUAAAGGAAAAAAUUUAAAUAACCGUUCUCCUUAAGUUUGCGUAAUGUGUUCCAUGGCAAGUUUUUAUGUGAAGAUUGAUGCUUUGAUUCUUGGUGAUGGUUGGCGUGUUCUUUGUUUCCAUUCUCUUAAUUAAUUUUUGUUUUAUUUUACUUCAUUAGGAAUGUUGUGCAAAACUUGAUGCUCUGAUUUAAAUUAUCUGUGUGUGAUCCAUGCUAUUUGUUUGUUGCCAUGCGCACAAUAAAUUGCAUGUCAAGGAUAGGAUAAGGAGUGAAGGAGUGAAUCUAGUUGAAGAGGAAGAACAAAUCUCAAAGGUAUAUAGUUUGAGAGAAAGCCAGCAGUUCUUACACGAUAUCUUGGGAGACCUGGCCUGGUCCAGUACUUUCUCAAGAAGGAGUGAAUCUAGUUGAAGGGGAAGAACAAAUCUCAAAGGUAUUUAGUCGGAGAGAAAGUCAGCAGUUCUUGCACGCUAUCUUGGGAGACAUGGCCUGGUCUAGUACUUUCUCAAGUUGGUGGCGUAUGAGAGAGCAGUUGGUUUGAGGUCAUCAGAGUUUAUCUUCAGAGGAUGCCGCUAUUAGUAGGCAUUAACAGUUCAUAGAUACUAUAAAGAACUAAAUUUCUCAUGCGGAGAAGGCGUUGAGUGAUUUGCAUAUCAAAGGAGAGAAGCAUCCAUUUUGGUUAGUGCAAUUAGAAGAGGAAGAAAGGGAUGAUCUUGUGCAAUUAGAAGAGGAAGAAAGGGAUGAUCAGUUGGUUGCGUGAGUCUAAGGUUGGAAAACAUGUGAAGUAUGUGGAAGAGGUGUUACGAGCUCGAGUAGAGUUGCCAAAUGGUCAAAAGAUGACUUGUGCUCUUGAUGUGGAUUCUUGGAAGAUUUUAGUUGCUGAUGAUGUAGAUGCAAAACCUAUGCCAUGUAGUCGACCGUCUAGUCUUCGUGGUUUCAUAAGGAAUGUUGGAUCAGCAAUGAGAUUAAACUGGUUUAGGAACAGCUUCUCAAAAGUAAAGAGUGAACUGGAUCACCAGUCAAGACCAGGAGCCAUUGAUUUGAGAGGAAUUAGUCGGUUUGCACAGGUUAUGUGAUCUAUGAUGGCAAAUAUAUUCCUUGCCCAGGGGCAUCUGCAAAAGCAGAUCUACCUCUUUAUUCUUCGCCUGGAUUAGGCAGACUUUCAUAGCGCUAAUGUCAUUGUAGAAAAGUUUCCUGCCUAUGGUGCGAGGAGGCCAUUUUUUACCAUGUCAAGCAAGUUCCUACAGCCAUAGAAGGAACCCGGAUUUCUCAAGGGUUAAGACAAUUGUCAGAAUGGUGAAGAUAGUAAUGUACUGUCCUCCAAAAACGGGCCACUAAUUUCUUUUUCUGGCAGCCAAAGGUAUCAAGCUACCGCUACUCCACGUAAAAUGGAGAGGGUGAUUUUUGAGCUCUUCAGAAAAAUCCAAGCGCUGUUAUGUGAAGGAGCAGCCAUCAAGGAAGAGAAGAGAAUUGAUGCUACACAGCAAGGUCAAAGUGAGAGAGGGACUGUAGAUUCCCUUCUCAAGUUAUUGAGGAAGCACUCAGUUGAUCAGGACAGAAAGACUUCUGAAGAAGAUGAUGAUAUUGACCUGCUUGACAGAAGCAAUCCAUUUGAGGAUGAACAAUUUCCAAACUUCUUUGAUGCUAAUAAUAUCAACAAAGAAGUUAAUGCGCCAGAACCUGCUCCAAACUGCAGGCCAGCUUCAAAUUUCAGGCGGAGAUCUCCUGUUCCAAGGUGAAAUUUCAAUGCAGUAUUUGCAGCAGAUGAAGACAUCAACUCAGAAUGACCUGAUCGAGUGUUAAAACGGCUCUGAAUCAUUCAAGACCAGAUUCCAGAUUUGGGGGCUGCAGCAGGUGAACAGUGAAAGAAUGAGUGUUGGGUCUGCAGGUUCUGAUUUCCAGAUUGGCGGAUUUACGGUUCUGAUUUCCUUCAGGUAUGUUUGGAAUAAUUAUUUUAUUUUACAUCAUGCAUGUUAACAACAUAUCAGUUUCUUACUGUUAGAAGUAGAGAGAAUGAGAAAGUGGAACAAGUCUAUCUCUAGAACACCCAUUACAUGAGUGACCCUUUGGG